rnacentral:rRNA from 1 species
AUGUUGCAGGUUUCAGAUAAUAACCUUACUGGCACCAUCCCACCUUCUCUUGCCAAUAUCACGACACUAACCCACAUUACCUUCUCUUAUAAUCACAUCAGGGGAAAUAUUCCAAGUGAGUUUGCAGAUUUGGCUAGCCUGCAGUACCUGUAUGCAGCUGUCAACCAGCUAACAGGCAGAUUUCCACAAGCCAUCUUGAAUCUUUCUACUCUCAUCGGCCUUGACCUUGGUCCCAAUGGUCUAAGUGGAGAGGUACCACCAAAUCUCUGUGCCUCUCUGCCCAAUCUCCAGAUACUUGUAUUAGCGGAGAACUUCUUUAUAGGAAACAUUCCUAGUUCAUUCACUAAUGCUUCCAAUAUAUAUGAUGUUGAUUUAUCAAUCAACAACUUCACCGGAUUGGUGCCCACCACGAUUGGUAGACUUACCAAACUCUCAUAUUUAAAUCUUGGACAAAAUCAACUCCAAGCUAAUAGCAAGCAAGAUUGGGUGUUUUUGGACAACUUAGGUAACUGCACUGAGCUACAGAUGUUCUCCCUGAGUUCGAAUCGUAUAUCGGGGCAUGUACCAAGUUCACUGGGUAACCUUUCCAAUCAACUCCAAGAAUUAUACCUGGGAGAAAAUCAACUAUCAGGAGAUUUUCCUUCGGGCAUAGCGAACCUUUGCAACCUUAUUCUGUUAUCAUUGGGGGCUAAUCACUUUACGGGUGUGGUUCCGGAGUGGAUAGGGACAGUUAAAACUUUGCAACUAGUAGAUUUAGGAGGAAACUACUUCACCCGGGGUAUUCCAUCAUCCUUGUCAAACUUGUCUCAAUUAGGAUCUCUAUAUCUUGACUCGAACCAGUUCAUUGGUCAUAUACCACCAAGCCUCGGAACCUUACCAAUGCUUCAAUGUUUGGACAUUUACAACAAUAAUCUUAGUGGUAGAAUUCCAAUGGAGAUCUUCAAAAUUCCAACACUGUUCAUACUUAAAUUGUCUUCCAACAGCCUUGAUGGACAACUUCCUACCGACAUUGGAAAUGCCAAACAACUCGUACAUUUGUUACUUUCAUCGAACAAGCUAUCCGGAGAUAUUCCAAACACUUUGGGUGAUUGUGAAAGUUUAGAAGACAUCGAGCUAGGCUCGAAUAUUUACAGCGGAAGUAUUCCUGCUUCAUUAGGCAACAUAAGCGGCCUCAAAGUUUUGAAUUUGUCUGCCAAUAACUUAACUGGGUCAAUACCAACAUCUCUUGUCAACCUACAACUUCUUGAGAAACUAGAUUUGUCAUUCAACCAUCUAAAAGGAGAGGUUCCAACAAAAGGGAUAUUUAAGAAUGCAACUAUUGUGCGGAUUGAUGGAAAUCAGGGGCUUUGUGGUGGGGUACUAGAGUUACACAUGCUAGCAUGUUCUGUUAUGCCUUUAAAUUCAAUUAGGCACAAGAGAUCCCUGAUGCUCAAAAUAAUUACUCCAAUAGCCAGCAUGGUGUCACUUGCUAUGGUCAUAUUUGUUUUAUUUCUUUGGAGAGGAAAACACAAGAGGAAUUCUGUAUCACUGCCAUCAUUUGCUACAAAAUUUCUCAAAGUUUCUUUCAAGGACCUAGCCAAAGCAACACAUGGAUUCUCAACGUCCAACCUAAUUGGCAGAGGGAGUUAUAGUUCUGUAUACCAAGGAAAACUAGUGGAAUAUGAAAAUGAGGUCGCCAUAAAAGUCUUCAACUUAGAGACAAGAGGAGCGCAAAAGAGCUUCAUUGCAGAAUGUAAUGUGUUGAGAAAUGUGCGGCACCGUAAUCUGGUCCAUAUCAUAACUGCAUGCUCAAGCAUCGAUUCUAAUGGUAAUGACUUCAAGGCCCUAGUGUACGAGCUGAUGCCAAGAGGAGACUUACAUAAACUGCUAUACUCGAACCGGGACCAUGAAGGCUCUUCUGAUUGGUACGUCAUUACAAUGGCUCAACGCAUAAGCAUUUUGGUGGAUGUAGCAGAUGCACUGGAGUACCUACACCACAACAACAAAGGCACAAUGGUUCAUUGUGAUUUGAAGCCUAGCAACAUUCUUUUGGAUGACAAUAUGACAGCUCAUGUUGGAGACUUUGGCCUGGCAAGAUUCAAAGUUGGCUCAACUACAUCAUCUCAGUGUAAUUCAAGUUCUUCUUCGGUUGCCGUAAUGGGAACAAUUGGAUAUGUUGCUCCAGAAUAUGCAAGAGGUGGUCAAGUUUCAACAGCCGCGGAUGUUUACAGCUUUGGUGUCGUUCUCCUCGAGAUAUUCAUUCGAAGAAGGCCAACUAAUGACAUAUUUAAGGAUGGACUGAACAUUGUGAAGUUUACAGAGAUUAGCUUCCCUGAUAGGGUAUUGGAGAUGGUCGAUCCCCAGCUGCUACAGGAGUUGGAGGAAACUCCAGUGGCGUUGAGGGAAAAAGGUGUAAAUUGUCUGCUACCUAUUCUAAACAUUGGCCUUUGCUGCACCAAGUCAUCUCCAGGUGAACGCAUCAACAUGCAGGAGGUGUCUGCCAAGCUACAUGGAAUCAAGGAUGCAUAUUUGAGAAGCAGUUCUGUUGUUUCAGUAACAUUAGCUACCUGA